GAGCUUAAGCUUUAGUUGACCUGAACAUAGUUGUAUUCAAUGUUCUUAAAACAAUACAUUUUAAAAAAGAUGUUCUCAGUCCGGUACAGAGGGCACUACCCAUGACUAAAGGACUGAAGGUAGUCCAAUUCUUUUAUGGAACGCCUGUUGCCUUGCUCUAAUAAACCCUGUUAUCUAAACAUGAUGUUCGGCAUUUAACCUAUAAAUA